rnacentral:rRNA from 1 species
AACGAACGCUGGCGGCAUGCCUAACACAUGCAAGUCGAACGAGACCUUCGGGUCUAGUGGCGCACGGGUGCGUAACGCGUGGGAAUCUGCCCUUGGGUUCGGAAUAACAGUUGGAAACGACUGCUAAUACCGGAUGAUGACGUAAGUCCAAAGAUUUAUCGCCCAGGGAUGAGCCCGCGUAGGAUUAGCUAGUUGGUGGGGUAAAGGCCUACCAAGGCGACGACCCUUAGCUGGUCUGAGAGGAUGAUCAGCCACACUGGGACUGAGACACGGCCCAGACUCCUACGGGAGGCAGCAGUGGGGAAUAUUGGACAAUGGGCGAAAGCCUGAUCCAGCAAUGCCGCGUGAGUGAUGAAGGCCUUAGGGUUGUAAAGCUCUUUUACCCGGGAUGAUAAUGACAGUACCGGGAGAAUAAGCCCCGGCUAACUCCGUG